ensembl:lncRNA
AAUCUAAACCUCCUUCCAGUUUAAAGCCGUUGCCCCUCGUCAGUUGCCCCUUGUCCAUUGCUCCUUGUCCAUUGCCAUAUGCCCUUGUGAAAAGUCUCUUUCCAGCUUUCUUGUGUAUGCCAAAAGUCAGCUAGUAAGAGAAGAGAGAGAAUAUCUAUUUAUUCUUUCUUUAUUUUUAUUUAGUCUAAUUUUAAAUGGUAAAACUUCCAGAGGACUACUUUAGCUAGGACUGGCUAAAGCAGUUUAUUUUUAUUUAGAGCAGCCUAAGCCACCUGCUUUGUAGAUGGUAAAUUCCUGCAUCUUUUGCUGAAUGCUUGUUAAAACAAAGAAUAAGGGAGACGGGCACCAUCUGCACGGAGCAGGGUAGCAGCAAAGGAGCCAUCAGGAUGAUGAGUGAACUGUGGUGUCUUGCUUUCCCUGCAGAUUGAAGAUAGGCAGGCCGAGAUGAGCAGGAGGAAUGUGCCUCAGAGGUAAAGAUGAGGAACACGCUCUUGAAAAGAGGGUGACUGCACCUGAAGGCACUGCUCAGAAGAGGAAGGUGUAUGCUAAUGAGCGAAAGCAGCAGGAAGAAAUGCAGCCGUGGACGUGGAGGGAAAGAAAGGAUCUCCACUAAUCGCCAUUAUGUUAUUACACUUUGAGCACAUUGCUUCCCUCAAGUGGGGCUGAGAGGAGGGUGAUACAUGGAUCUGAUAUGAAGUGCCUUUUCCAUCUCCUUGUAGUGUCUGGUUUUCUAGAGUGAACAUGUUGCUGUGGAGUUUCUUGUCCUAAAUUUGGAAGGAUGUGUUAAUAAAUUGUAAGACUGCUAGUGUCUUGUUUGUUUGGUUUUUUUUCCUCAAGUAAUGGCAACAUGAACUGUAAAGAGUGCCAUUGUGUUGUUUAUUUCCAUUACAGAACUGCUCUAAAGUGAAUGUGGGGGUGGGUACCUGGCUGUAAAAUCGUGUUACACGAGAAAUCACAAACAAGAACCCGUCCAGAUUUGCAGGCAGGGAAACACAGACAGUGCCUUCAUACCACUAAAUGAACCACAGACACAGUGCUUCCCUGAACAUUGCUGGAGUAGAUGCUUUUUUCUGGCAAUCAAAUAGUGAAGUUGAGUGAAACAGAAUUUGUGACAGCUGUUGCUAAGUUUAAUUUCUUUUACGUGGUUUUAAUAGAGGUGGAGUAGACUAAAAGCUUAAUCACUGAUGUCCACAACCAUCAGAUAAAGUCAGUUUAUCCAGUGAUUUGCUUUUCCUGUGUAUGAGAUAAACCUUGUCCUGAGAUCAGGCAGAGACUUCUGCAGCUUUCUCAUUAAACUGACCCCUGCUGCUCAUUGCUGUCCUCUGUCUAGGAAAUCUUCCUCCAAGUUUGUGCAUUUUAUCUUUUUGUAACAAAUGGUAUUUUGUAACACUUUUCUCUAAGACAACAAGAGUAUGUUGAGAGUAAGUGCUUUUACAGUAUCCUGGUACCCAGGAAACUUAUAAGCAGCUUUUCUGAAGGAUCUGUUCAGGGAUAGAAAAAGUCCUUUGAUAGAUCAUGUUAAUUAGACUUUUUUUAAUGUUUAGACUAAAGUGUACAUAUUAAAAUGUAUAUUUAGCAGUCAUGUUAGGUGUGCUAAUGAUUCUGAAACUUGGAAUCUUGUCUUAAUGAGGAAUGGUUUUGUUUCAAAUGCAGCUGUUACUUGCUGUUUAGGAACUGAGCUUUGGUGGGCUAAAAUGCCUUCUGAGCUGUAGUGCAUAACUUAGUGCCUGUAGCCAGUAGUGAUAUUGUAUGUGCUUCUCUCUGAAGUCAAGAAUUUAAUAUAAUAAAAAUAUCUUGCUGAAACAUAAUACAAUUUUUCUCUCUAUUUAAGACCUAGCAUCUUAAGUUGAAGCACUGUAACACAAUCUGUGCAGCGUACCAGCCUGCAGCACUACUGAUUUUUUUUUUGGUUUCUUAUUUCUUUCCGUAAACAAUGAGUCUCCAUUUGGAAAAAAUAAAUCCUUUAUAGAAUCAAAAAUAUCAUUUGAUAGCUAGG